UACGUAGGUGGCGAGCGUUGUCCGGAUUUAUUGGGCGUAAAGCGCGCGCAGGCGGUGCGGUAAGUCUGUCGUGAAAUCUCCCGGCUCAACUGGGAGGGUGCGGUGGAGACUGCCGGACUAGAGGCACUCAGAGGCCGGUGGAAUUCCCGGUGUAGUGGUGAAAUGCGCAGAUAUCAGGAGGAACACCGGUGGCGAAGGCGGGUCUCUGGGCCGAUAUUGACGCUGAGGAGCGAAAGCGUGGGGAGCAAACAGG
rnacentral:rRNA from 1 species